rnacentral:rRNA from 1 species
GAUGAACGCUGGCGGCGUGCCUAAUACAUGCAAGUCGAGCGAACAGAUGAGGAGCUUGCUCCUCUGACGUUAGCGGCGGACGGGUGAGUAACAUGUGGAUAACCUACCUAUAAGACUGGGAUAACUUCGUGAAACCGGAGCUAAUACCGGAUAAUAUAUUGAACCGCAUGGUUCAAUAGUGAAAGACGGUUUUGCUGUCACUUAUAGAUGGUUCGAGGCCGCAUUAGCUAGUUGGUAAGGUAACGGCUUACCAAGGCAACGAUGAGUAGCCGACCUGAGAGGGGGAUCGGCCACACUGGAACUGAGACACGGUCCAGACUCCUACGGGAGGCAGCAGUAGGGAAUCUUCGGCAAUGGGCGAAAGCCUGACGGAGCAACGCCGCGUGAGUGAUGAAGGUCUUCGGAUCGUAAAACACUGUUAUUAGGGAAGAACAAAUGUGGAAGUAAAUAUGCACGUCUUGACGGUACCGAAUGAGAAAGCCACGGCUAACUACGUG